rnacentral:rRNA from 1 species
GCGGUUUGAGAUGAGCCCGCGUCCUAUCAGGUUGUUGGUGGGGUAAUGGCCUACCAAGCCUAUAACGGGUAACUGGUCUGAGAGGAUGGCCAGUCAGACUGGGACUGAGACACGGCCCAG